rnacentral:rRNA from 1 species
UUGGAGGGCAAGUCUGGUGCCAGCAGCCGCGGUAAUUCCAGCUCCAAUAGCGUAUAUUAAAGUUGUUGCAGUUAAAAAGCUCGUAGUUGAACUUCGGGGUCUACCCAUUGGUCAGGCUUAAUUGUCUGCACUGGUGAGAUGGAUCUCUACCUUCUGAGGAACUUUCAUGCCAUUUAUUUGGUGUGAUGGGAAAUCAGGACUGUUACUUUGAAAAAAUUAGAGUGUUUAAAGCAGACUAUCGUCUGAAUACAUUAGCAUGGAAUAAUGAAAUAGGACGGACUGAUUCUAUUUCGUUGGUUUCUAGGAUCACCGUAAUGAUUAAUAGGGAUAGUUGGGGGCAUUAGUAUUCAAUUGUCAGAGGUGAAAUUCUUGGAUUUAUUGAAGACUAACUACUGCGAAAGCAUUUGCCAAGGAUGUUUUCAUUAAUCAAGAACGAAAGUUAGGAGAUCGAAGACGAUCAGAUACCGUCGUAGUCUUAACCAUAAACUAUGCCGACUAGGGAUCGGACGAAGUUAAUUUUAUAAUGACGCGUUCGGCGCCUUACGGGAAAC